rnacentral:rRNA from 1 species
GACGAACGCUGGCGGCGUGCUUAACACAUGCAAGUCGAACGGAGUGGCGAACGGGUGAGUAACACGUGGGUGACCUGCCCUGCACUUCGGGGUAAGCCUGGGAAACUGGGUCUAAUACCGGCUAGUGUGGGAUGGGGGCGGGGCCUAUCAGCUUGUGGGGGGGGUAAUGGCCUACCAAGGCGGCGACGGGUGGCCGGACUGAGAGGGUGGACGGCCACAUAGGGACAUGGGCACGGGCCAGACGCCUACUGGCGGAAUGAGUGGAGAAUAGUGCGCAAUAGGCGGAAGCAUGAUGCAGCGCCGCCGGGUGGGGGAUGUCUGCCUACGGGUUGUAAACUCCUUCUACCGUAGACGCGGUAGAUGGAGAAGAAGCACCGGCUAACUACGUGCCAGCAGCCGCGGUAAUAC